AACGUACGCUGGCGGCACGCCUAACACAUGCAAGUCGAACGAAGUAGCAAUACUUAGUGGCAGACGGGUGAGUAACAUGUAGGUAUCUGCCCUUUGGCCUGGAAUAACACGAGGAAACUUGUGCUAAUACCGGAUAAGUCUUUACGGAGAAAGCUUUAUGCACCAUUGGAUGAGCCUGCACUUGAUUAGUUUGUUGGUGGGGUAAUGGCCUACCAAGACUGUGAUCAAUAGCUGAUUUGAGAGGAUGAUCAGCCACAUUGGGACUGAGACACGGCCCAAACUCCUACGGGAGGCAGCAGUGGGGAAUCUUGCACAAUGGAGGAAACUCUGAUGCAGCGAUGCCGCGUGAGUGAAGAAGGCCCUUGGGUUGUAAAGCUCUUUCGUCGGGGAAGAAAAUGACUGUACCCGAAUAAGAAGGUCCGGCUAACUUCGUGCCAGCAGCCGCGGUAAUACGAAGGGACCUAGCGUAGUUCGGAAUUACUGGGCUUAAAGAGUUCGUAGGUGGUUGAAAAAGUUAGUGGUGAAAUCCCAGAGCUUAACUCUGGAACUGCCAUUAAAACUUUUCAGCUAGAGUAUGAUAGAGGAAAGCAGAAUUUCUAUUGUAGAGGUGAAAUUUCGUAGAUAUUAGAAAAGAAUACCAAUUGCGAAGGCAGCUUUUCUGCAUCAUUACUGACACUGAGGAACGAAAGCAUGGGUAGCGAAGAGGAUUAGAUACCCUCGUAGUCCAUGCCGUAAACGAUGUGUGUUAGACGUUGGAAAUUUAUUUUCAGUGUCGCAGGGAAACCGAUAAACACACCGCCUGGGGAGUACGACCGCAAGGUUAAAACUCAAAUGAAUUGACGGGGACCCGCACAAGUAGUGGAGCAUGUGGUUUAAUUCGAAGAUACGCGCAGAACCUUACCAACACUUGACAUGUUGGUCGCGACUCUAAGAGAUUAGAGUUUUCGGUUCGGCCGGACGAAACACAGGUGCUGCAUGGCUGUCGUCAGCUCGUGUCGUGAGAUGUUGGGUUAAGUCCCGCAACGAGCGCAACCCUCACUUUUAGUUGCCAUCAUUAAGUUGGGCACUCUGAAAGAACUGCCAGUGAUAAGCUGGAGGAAGGUGGGGAUGACGUCAAGUCCUCAUGGCCCUUACGUGUUGGGCUACACACGUGCUACAAUGGUAUCUACAACAGGAAGCAAGACUGCGAAGUUAAGCAAAUCCCUAAAAGAUACCUCAGUUCGGAUUGCACUCUGCAACUCGAGUGCAUGAAGCUGGAAUUACUAGUAAUCGUGGAUCAGCGUGCCACGGUGAAUGCGUUCCCGGGUCU
rnacentral:rRNA from 1 species